ensembl:snRNA U6 U6 spliceosomal RNA
UUGCUUCAGCAGCACAAUUACUAAAAUUGUAACAAUCCAGAAAGAUUAGCAUGCCCCCCACCCAACUAAGGAUGACAAGCAAAUUCGUGAAGCUUUCUCCAUUAAA